rnacentral:rRNA from 1 species
AGCAGCCGCGGUAAUUCCAGCUCCAAUAGCGUAUAUUAAAGUUGUUGCAGUUAAAAAGCUCGUAGUUGAAUUUCGGGAUCAAGGAAUCGGUCAUGCCUUGGUAUGUACUGGUUUUAUUGGUUCUCACCUUCUAAAGAACCAUAAUGUCAUUUAUUUGAUGUUAUGGGGAAUUAGGACUGUUACCUUGAAAAAAUUAGAGUGUUUAAAGCAAGCUUACGCUUGAACACAUUAGCAUGGAAUAAUGAAAUAGGACAUCAGAUUCUAUUUUGUUGGUUUCUAGGAUCGAUGUAAUGAUUAAUAGGGAUAGUUGGGGGCAUUAGUAUUCAAUUGUCAGAGGUGAAAUUCUUGGAUUUAUUGAAGACUAACUACUGCGAAAGCAUUUGCCAAGGAUGUUUUCAUUAAUCAAGAACGAAAGUUAGGGGAUCGAAGACGAUCAGAUACCGUCGUAGU